rnacentral:rRNA from 1 species
GGGUAGAAGGAGCUUGCUCCUUUGAGACCGGCGCACGGGUGCGUAACGCGUAUGCAAUCUACCUUGUACAGGGGGAUAGCCCAGAGAAAUUUGGAUUAAUACCCCAUAGUAUUUUCAGAUGGCCUCAUUUGAUUAUUAAAGUUCCAACGGUACAAGAUGAGCAUGCGUCCCAUUAGCUAGUUGGUGUGGUAACGGCAUACCAAGGCAACGAUGGGUAGGGGUCCUGAGAGGGAGAUCCCCCACACUGGUACUGAGACACGGACCAGACUCCUACGGGAGGCAGCAGUGAGGAAUAUUGGUCAAUGGGCGCAAGCCUGAACCAGCCAUGCCGCGUGCAGGAUGACGGUCCUAUGGAUUGUAAACUGCUUUUGUACAGGAAGAAACCCUCCCUUGUAAGGGAGCUUGACGGUACUGUAAGAAUAAGGAUCGGCUAACUCCGUGCCAGCAGCCGCGGUAAUACGGAGGAUCCAAGCGUUAUCCGGAAUCAUUGGGUUUAAAGGGUCCGUAGGCGGUUUUAUAAGUCAGUGGUGAAAUCUGGUCGCUCAACGAUCAAACGGCCAUUGAUACUGUAAGACUUGAAUUACUUGGAAGUAACUAGAAUAUGUAGUGUAGCGGUGAAAUGCUUAGAGAUUACAUGGAAUACCGAUUGCGAAGGCAGGUUACUACGAGUAUAUUGACGCUGAUGG